rnacentral:rRNA from 1 species
GGCUUAACACAUGCAAGUCGAACGAUGUAGCAAUACAUAGUGGCGCACGGGUGAGUAACGCGUGGGAACGUGCCCUUUGGUACGGGAUAACACCGGGAAACUGGUGCUAAUACCGUAUACGCCCUUCGGGGGAAAGAUUUAUCGCCAAAGGAUCGGCCCGCGUGAGAUUAGGUAGUUGGUGGGGUAAUGGCCUACCAAGCCUACGAUCUCUAGCUGGUCUGAGAGGAUGAUCAGCCACACUGGAACUGAGACACGGUCCAGACUCCUACGGGAGGCAGCGGUGGGGAAUAUUGGACAAUGGGCGAAAGCCUGAUCCAGCCAUGCCGCGUGUGUGAUGAAGGCCUUAGGGUUGUAAAGCAC